rnacentral:tRNA from 1 species
CAAUUUAAAUUUUAUAAUAAAUAUUUCAUUUACAUUGAAAAGAAAUUUGUUUUAUCAAAUUAAAUUGA